rnacentral:lncRNA from 1 species
GCAAGUCCUGUAUCUGGUUCAUGUACCACUUUAUUCUGAAUUUUAUACACUAAAGGGAAUGAUCCAGCAUGAAGAAAGGCGAAAGGACUUUCAGGACCCUAUUUACUCACCAAAAUCAGUGUGCCAUCCCCUACCCAGCAGGCCAGCCCGGGGACACGGGAGACAGUGCGUAGUUUUGUCAAAUCCUUAUUGCUGAGCUCUGUAGAGCAAGAUAGCCUGGGUUCAAAUUCUGACUCCACUACUGCCUGGUGUGUGACCUUAGGUAGAUGCUUUUCCUUUGAGCACCUGAGUUUCCCUCUCAGUCGGAUGGGGCCGUGAUAGUGCCGGUCUCAUAGGGUUCCCGUGAAAUAUUAUGUUUGUGAUUGACACAUGCAGUCACUGGAUAAACGUUAGCAAGUGUUGCUGUCCAACCUCGGCUCUCCUAAUAAGGCCCUGGACCCACUAGUCCCUGGGCAUGGCAGCAGUACCUCUAAGGACUGGAAUUAGUGCCUCCUACCUCACAUACCAACCCCACCCCAGGUGUUCGCCCUCCUCUGCCAUCAGUCCGCUUCCUAUGUUCUGUUAUCUAGUAAUACUGAAAAACCAAGGCUCUGAUCAAAGGUCCCACACCUCUGUACUUUCCACAUCUGCCAACCAGAAGAAAUGUCUCCCUUCUGAAUUAUCUCUUUUAAGCUCCUGGAUUGCAGAAACCACUGGCUAAUUUAUCUUUGCACCCUUUUCACGGAGUUAAAUACAGUAAAGUGCCUUGUGCACAGUAAAGGCUCCAUUAAAUUGUGCAACCAGUCUCAUGAGCCCUUAGGCAGGCCCUAUGCCAGGUUUCUCUUAUCUCUCAAGCCAGCUGAGGCCUAGGCACUUGGGGUGGGGUGGGGGGGCUGUGAACGGAUAGAGAGUUGAGUCUUUUUGUUUUGUUUGUUUUUAUUUUUUGUUUUUGAGGCUGAGGCUGAGGAUGGGACAGGACGUGAGAUCCCAGCAUUAGAUUCUUGUUUGAGCUACAGACACUGUGACAAUCAGUACUGGCUGGUGGUUUAUAUCAUACCUUCCUUUAAUGUCAUUUGACAUUUCAAAACAAAUUAAAUAUCAGAUCUUAAAAAAAAAAAAACUAUGGUAACUUUAAAAUGCACUUUGACAACCCCUCUUCUGGGGAUUUUCUGAAAUAAAAAGGAGUUCCAGCAAACUCUGUCCUUUCCCAUUAAGAAUCACUGAUCCAGCCAGGUGCAAUGAUGCAUACCUAUAAUCCCCGGAACUCAGGAGGCUGAGGUAAGAGGAUUGUAAGUUCGAGGCCAACCUCAACAACUUAGCAAGACACUCUCUCAAAAUAAAAAAUAAAAAGGGCUGGGGAUGUAGCUUAGUAGUUAUGGACCCCUGGGUUCAAUCCCUGGUACCUAAAACAUAAGUAAUCAUUGCUCCAUUUCUCACUUUAUAAUGGGAACCCCCUGUAGUAUAUUUGAGUCCCCUAACCCUGAUUUUUGCAGCAAACUAAUAAUUACCCUGAAAGAGAAACUGAAAUCAUGGUUGUCAAACUCAAAACAUGUAUCAGAAUUACCUAAAAGACUUGUUAAUUCCUACAAUGAUGGGUCCUACGCCUAUAGUUUCCUAGGUCAGAGGGUAGAAUUUGCAUUUGGGGCACGUUCUCAGGUGAUGCUGUUGCUGCUGGUGUGAGGACCGCACUCUGAGAACCAUGGCACACAGGAAGGUCAGUAGGCCAGAGAACCAUCUCAAGGGACGAUCCUCAACUCUGCCUGACUCGUUAAGAACUUCCAGCGGCCAGGCUUGAGCAACUGCCUGACUCCAUUUGUAAGCGAUUGCCUGAGAAGUGCCUAUUUAUGCACUUACAUCAGCUUGUAAUUGCCAUGGGGCCUCUAGGGUCACUUUCUGUGGGAAGCCACAUCCUGAGAAAGGCCGCUCCUGGCCUGUGGCAUCUAUACCUAUCCAUGCCACCAUAGCGAUGGCAUCAGGGCUAGGGACUGGGCAGGGCUAGCUCCCUGGCUCCUCUCCACCAGGCUCCAAGCAGCUGCUCCCUCCUCUGUAGUCACUCAUCCUUCUGCUUGCCGCAGCUCUCCCUCCCAGGUCACCUUAGGGGGACUCCAGCUGUUUUGUCUGAAUUUAAAUAUCUGGUCAGCCACUCUGUCCCUUCCCAAGUACAGAACCACCUCUUGGAGAUGGGGGAAUAAAGGGUUUUAAAACAAUUAACAAAUAUUCCGUAUUUGAUAAGUGUCUACUUGUGUUGCAGGCCCUGUUCUGGGCACUGGAAAACAGCAAUGAACUUAACAAAGAUCUUUCCUCUUAGGGAAUUUACAUUCUGAGAAGAUAGAUAAGCAAGUAGCAUGCACAAUAUAGCAGAUGCUAACAGUAGGUGGGACAGGGAAGGAUGGAAUUUACAACAUUGAAUAAAGCUGUUUUAGGAAAUGGGAUUGUUGGUCUGUCUCUGAAUUGUUGUAUGAUCUUGGGCAAGUCUCCU